rnacentral:rRNA from 1 species
ACACGGCCCAAACUCCUACGGGAGGCAGCAGUGGGGAUUAUUGCACAAUGGGCGAAAGCCUGAUGCAGCGACGCCGCGUGAGCGAAGAAGUAUUUCGGUAUGUAAAGCUCUAUCAGCAGGGAAGAUAAUGACGGUACCUGACUAAGAAGCACCGGCUAAAUACGUGCCAGCAGCCGCGGUAAUACGUAUGGUGCAAGCGUUAUCCGGAUUUACUGGGUGUAAAGGGAGCGCAGGCGGUGCGGCAAGUCUGAUGUGAAAGCCCGGGGCUCAACCCCGGUACUGCAUUGGAAACUGUCGUACUAGAGUGUCGGAGGGGUAAGCGGAAUUCCUAGUGUAGCGGUGAAAUGCGUAGAUAUUAGGAGGAACACCAGUGGCGAAGGCGGCUUACUGGACGAUAACUGACGCUGAGGCUCGAAAGCGUGGGGAGCAAACAGGAUUAGAUACCCUGGUAGUCCACGCCGUAAACGAUGAAUAAUAGGUGUUGGGAAGGCAAUGCUUCUUGGUGCCGUCGCAAACGCAGUAAGUAUUCCACCUGGGGGGUACGUUCGCAAGAAUGAAACUCAAAAGGAAUUGACGGGGACCCGCACAAGCGGUGGAGCAUGUGGUUUAUUUUGAAGCAACGCGAAGAACCUUACCAAGUCAUGACAUCUUUCUGACCGGGAGUUGACGGAACAUUCUUUUUUGAGCAGGAGAGACAGGUGGUGCAUGGUUGUCGUCAGCUGGUGUCGUGAGAUGUUGGGUUAAGUCCCGCAACGAGCGCAACCCUCAUCUUUAGUAGCCAGCGGUUCGGCCGGGCACUCUAGAGAGACUGCCAGGGAUAACAUGGAGGAAGGCGGGGAGGACGUCAAAUCAUCAUGCCCCUUAUGACUGGGGCUGCACACGAGGUGCAAUGGGGUAAACAAAGGGAAGCAAAGCUGUGAAGCCGAGCAAAUGUCAAAAAUAAGGUAUCAGUUCGGACGGUAGUAUGCAACCAGACUACAGGAAGCAGGAAUAGU